CACCCUGGCAGUCGUCCAUUGCACCUGGAGGAGCCCGUGGGUGCCCAGCACGUCCUCAGUGGGUUCCCGAGGACAGAGGCCAAGGCCGGGAGGGAGUGGGCCAGGUGCCGCCGCGAGGCUGGACAGGGCGUGCGUGCCUGCUGAGCUCCGCAGGUGCCAUCUUGGAGAGCGAGGGGCGAGAAGCCUUCAACAACCCGCCGUGACCCCAAAGAGGGCGCGAUUUCCCGGAAGUUCCAUCCUACUCCGGGAUUGUGUCUUAGAACCGGAAGGAAAGGAGUCACCUUAAUCGACAGCUGUACUUCCGAACUCCCCUGAGAGUGGGGGCUUCAGCGCCACAUUACGCCAAUUAUAUGGAAAAGGAAGGAGCCACAUUUUCACUAAGCAGUUACAUCCAGCAAAAAAGUGAAUUCUCUCGUAUGUUUUUGUAACGUGGCUUCUUGGAAAUAGGAGUUUUGUUUGGACCUGUUAGUGGAUGUCACUUUGAUCCUGAUUUGGAGAAUCAAUCAAGAGGACUUUCUGGAGUAGCCUGUUGUGAAAUGAAGAACCUAAUAGGAAAAGGAGUAUUUAAAGCAGUUCUUGAAAGGAUGAAUGGCUUAGUGAACCAACUUUCUCAAUAAGGAAAAAUCACAAUAAGUGUGAGACGAGCACUGUGGAAAGAGGCUUUAUAAGAAGUCCAACCAGAGAAGAGGCGGAGGAGAGGCGUCAUGAUAUAGUGGCUUAAGUACUGCAACUGAAGCUGAGAAACUGGGAUUCUGCCAAUGACUGUUUGUGUUACUAUAUUAGUCAGGGUUCUCUGAUUCUGGGAAACAGAAUUAAUAGGAUAUAUAUACAUAUAUCUAGAAAGAUAUGUAUUAUAAGGUAUUGGCUUACAUGAUUAUGGUGGAUGAGAAGUCCCACGAUUUGCCAUCUGCAAGCAGGACAUCCAGGGAAGCCAGUGGUGUAGUAGAAGGCCUCAGAGCUGGAGAGCUGAUGGUGUAGAUUCCAGUCCGAGUCAGAAAGCUUGAGAACCAGGAGCACUGAGGGCAGGAGAAGAUCCAUGUCCUAGCUCAGCAGUCAGGCACAGAGCAAAUUCAACCUUCCUCUGCAUUUUGCUCUAAUCAGACCACCAGCAUUGGAGAGGGCCAUCUGCUUUACUCAGUCCACCAGUUCAAAUGCUAAUCUCUUUUCUAGAAACGUCCUGACAGACAUAUUCAGAAAUAAUGUUUAACUAGCUGUCUGGGCAUCCCAUGGCUCAGUCAAGUUGACACAUAAAAUUAACCAUCACAGUUACCUUAGAAAAGUCAUUUAAAUUCUCUAAGCUUUCGGUUCCUUGUCUGUAAUAAAAGGCUAUUGCUCCUUAUCACCUUGAAAACUUGGUUCCUGAUUAAUUCUGCCUGGCUAGUAUAUAAACAAAGAAUAACAUUUAUUUGUCUAAUUUCAAAAGUACAUGCUCAAUGCAGAAAAUCUGCAAAACCAAGAAAAACACCACAUCUUGCUCCCUUUGCUUUCAUCUGUACCCUUCAGAGGUAAUCAUUGUCAAUAUUUUGGUGUAUACUCUUCAGAUUAUAUUCUGAGUAUAACUAUACUUUUACACUUAAAUGACUUCUCAAUUGACGAUUACAUUAAAAAAAUCUGUUAAUUUGAGAAAAUUGUGGGUAUUGAACAAUUUUCCUUCCUAGGUAUUACAUAUAUUUAAAUUACAAUCUAUGGGAAAUAAUGAUACAUUCUUUAAUGGCUGACUUUCCAAAAAAUGAGUCUAAUGUUGGAGUUUCUUAACAGAUCAAUGGGUGGCAGUUGCCAUAGGAAGGAAUGUUUUUGGGAAGGAGGUUCUUGGGAGAAGGCCACUUACCCAGCCACAAGUGGGGACUUCCUUGAUAGGGUUAGAUUGCAGUAUGCUCACCAAAGGAUAGAAAAGCUCCACUAGAUGGUAGCAUUGCCGUGUGGCCCAACAAGGCAAGCUGCAAGAAACUGGCUGAAGAUUAUGUGAAUAUUGAAGACAGAAGUUUGGACAUGAAUACCAAAACUGCUGAGGGCCAACCAGUGUGACUUUUGACUUGUCCUGCUUGAGAGCCAGCUGAGGGCUUGUCUGGAGGACUGUCACAUCUAUCACACAUAUGCUUUAAGAUGAAUUUGUA
ensembl:lncRNA